GGUUGCGAUCAUACCAGCACUAAUGCACCGGAUCCCAUCAGAACUCCGCAGUUAAGCGUGCUUGGGCGAGAGUAGUACUAGGAUGGGUGACCCCCUGGGAAGUCCUCGUGUUUUAACCC
rnacentral:rRNA from 1 species